GACGAACGCUGGCGGCGUGCUUAACACAUGCAAGUCGAACGGAAAGGCCCUGCUUUUGUGGGGUGCUCGAGUGGCGAACGGGUGAGUAACACGUGAGUAACCUGCCCUUGACUUUGGGAUAACUUCAGGAAACUGGGGCUAAUACCGGAUAGGAGCUCCUGCUGCAUGGUGGGGGUCGGAAAGUUUCGGCGGUUGGGGAUGGACUCGCGGCUUAUCAGCUUGUUGGUGGGGUAGUGGCUUACCAAGGCUUUGACGGGUAGCCGGCCUGAGAGGGUGACCGGCCACAUUGGGACUGAGAUACGGCCCAGACGCCUACGGGAGGCAGCAGUGGGGAAUAUUGCACAAUGGGCGGAAGCCUGAUGCAGCAACGCCGCGUGCGGGAUGACGGCCUUCGGGUUGUAAACCGCUUUCGCCUGUGACGAAGCGUGAGUGACGGUAAUGGGUAAAGAAGCACCGGCUAACUACGUG
rnacentral:rRNA from 1 species